rnacentral:rRNA from 1 species
ACGAACGCUGGCGGCGUGCUUAACACAUGCAAGUCGAACGGAAAGGCCCUGCUUUUGUGGGGUGCUCGAGUGGCGAACGGGUGAGUAACACGUGAGUAACCUGCCCUUGACUUUGGGAUAACUUCAGGAAACUGGGGCUAAUACCGGAUAGGAACUCCUGCUGCAUGGUGGGGGUUGGAAAGUUUCGGCGGUUGGGGAUGGACUCGCGGCUUAUCAGCUUGUUGGUGGGGUAGUGGCUUACCAAGGCUUUGACGGGUAGCCGGCCUGAGAGGGGGACCGGCCACAUUGGGACUGAGAUACGGCCCAGACUCCUACGGGAGGCAGCAGUGGGGAAUAUUGCACAAUGGGCGGAAGCCUGAUGCAGCAACGCCGCGUGCGGGAUGACGGCCUUCGGGUUGUAAACCGCUUUCGCCUGUGACGAAGCGUGAGUGACGGUAAUGGGUAAAGAAGCACCGGCUAACUACGUG